rnacentral:rRNA from 1 species
UGGAGAAUAUUGCACAAUGGGCGCAAGGCUGAUGCAGCCAUGCCGCGUGUGUGAAGAAGGCCUUCGGGUUGUAAAGCACUUUCAGCGGGGAGGAAGGCGUUAAGGUUAAUAACCUUGGCGAUUGACGUUACCCGCAGAAGAAGCACCGGCUAACUCCGUGCCAGCAGCCGCGGUAAUACGGAGGGUGCAAGCGUUAAUCGGAAUUACUGGGCGUAAAGCGCACGCAGGCGGUCUGUCAAGUCGGAUGUGAAAUCCCCGGGCUCAACCUGGGAACUGCAUUCGAAACUGGCAGGCUAGAGUCUUGUAGAGGGGGGUAGAAUUCCAGGUGUAGCGGUGAAAUGCGUAGAGAUCUGGAGGAAUACCGGUGGCGAAGGCGGCCCCCUGGACAAAGACUGACGCUCAGGUGCGAAAGCGUGGGGAGCAAACAGG